UACGUAGGAGACGAGCGUUGUCCGGAGUUACUGGGCGUAAAGGGCGCGCAGGCGGCCUGUGCAGGUGUCUGGUGAAAGCUCCCGGCUUAACUGGGAGAGGUCCAGGCAAACCGCCAGGCUUGAGCGUCGGAGAGGGGCAUGGAAUUCCGGGUGGAGCGGUGAAAUGCGUAGAGAUCCGGAGGAACACCAAUGGCGAAGGCAGUGCCCUGGCCGACGGCUGACGCUCAGGCGCGAAAGCGUGGGGAGCAAACAGG
rnacentral:misc_RNA from 1 species